rnacentral:rRNA from 1 species
CCUACGGGUGGCAGCAGUCGAGAAUCAUUCACAAUGGGGGAAACCCUGAUGCUGCGACGCCGCGUGGGGGAAUGAAGGUCUUCGGAUUGUAAACUCCUGUCAUGUGGGAGCAAAUUAAAAAGAUAGUACCACAAGAGGAAGAGACGGCUAACUCUGUGCCAGCAGCCGCGGUAAUACGGAGGUCUCAAGCGUUGUUCGGAAUCACUGGGCGUAAAGCGUGCGUAGGCUGUUUCGUAAGUCGUGUGUGAAAGGCGCGGGCUCAACCCGCGGACGGCACAUGAUACUGCGGGACUAGAGUGAUGGAGAGGGAAGCGGAAUUCGCGGUGUAGCGGUGAAAUGCGUAGAUAUCGAGAAGAACACUCGUGGCGAAGGCGGGUUCCUGGACAGUAACUGACGCUGAGGCACGAAGGCCAGGGGAGCGAAAGGGAUUAGAUACCCUUGUAGUC